AAUUUGUAGACCAAAUAUAAAUAAAUAGAUAAAAAUAAAUUGGCAGUCAUUUUAUUUCGUUCUUUGUCGAGUUCGCCUUCUGGAUAUCGUUUUCUUCAACUGAAAAGUGGAUUACAUCUUCUCGUGGAUUUCGUCAACUAUUGCUGCAUUCUGGAAUUGAAUUACCUGAUAUUCUUGCCUUGGAUUGAAAUUUGAAUCUCGUGGCCGUAACUGUACAGUCUACUUAAUUCUCCAUGCUCUACUCACUCUGAACUCUUGUUUUGUCAGUGCAUUGAUGCUCUAAGUUAGAGUGUUGCAGGCUUGCAGCAUCAUAGUUACAAAAACAACUUGGUCGUCAACGUCAUACGUCAACAUCAAUUUAUUCAAGGUAAAUUUGAUAAUGAAAAGGGUUAAUACUGCUAGCAGCACAUCUCAGGCUCACAUAAGGAGAAUGCGUCGGGAGGCAAAUCAAAACGUGGAGGUUGCUAAUUUGUCUCAGUUUGAAGUUGAACGUGACAUCAACAGUAUUUGUGAACCAGUAUUUCAAGACUACACUAAAAGAAGUUAGGAAUUUUUAAAAAUCCAAUUUCGAGAAAUGACUGCAAAAAUCGACGAUCUUUUGGACUCGAGACCGAAACCGUGUAUUUGUACAAUACAAAGAAUCGAAGAAAUGAACAGCAAUCUCUUUUGCCUUUGGAUUCGUUCGAUGCUAUUGAACAUCUUGAAAAUUCAAUCAAGGACCAACAAUCUCGACAACAAAUGAUCCUUUUGCUGCUCCGCAUCGGUGGAAUAAAUCUCCAGAAAACGGUUUAUGCAAUAAUGGAAAAGUUAUUCUCAUACGAAAUUGGAACUAAGUUCACUUGGACGGGAAAAUCCUCAAAAGGAAUCGAGAAAGCUAAAUUUUCUGAUCUGAAGAACAUCU